GAUGGUGUAGCUCAGCGGUAGAGCAGUUGGCUGUUAACCAACUGGUCUGUGGUUCGAAUCCACCCACCAUCGCCA
rnacentral:tRNA from 1 species